CGGUGAAUACGUUCCCGGACCUUGCACACACUGCCCGUCAAGCCAUGGAAGCCGGGUGUACCUAAAGUCGGUAACCGUAAGGAGCCGCCUAGGGUAAACUGGUGACUGGGGGCU
rnacentral:rRNA from 1 species